UGAACUGUCAAAGUCGGGCCACGCGAAGCUGCCAGCUAGAUUUCCGUUCGACUGUCGUUCUUUCGUUCUCAGGCCGUCUUCGUAAGCAGAAGGAAAAUGAGAGCUAAGUGGCGUAAGAAGCGUAUGCGUAGGUUGAAGCGUAAGCGCAGGAAGAUGCGUGCAAGGUCUAAGUAAACCUGCCAUUCCGCUAUCGACCAUUUUCGUGGAACUUCUGACGUACAAA